UUUUUUUUCCAGAUUCUCUGGGUUCUGAAUACAUUUGCUACAUAAACGGCAUUUGAAUAACUGAGGUACUACUGUGGCUGAAAUGAAUACUUCUAUAUAAAAUCCUGUAGCAGAAUUCAAGCAAUUCUACUUUGCCAUAUCACGCCGAUGCAUUCCAAAGUUUCCUCUCAAAAUAUGUGCUUCCAGUAUGUGCAAGAAUUAUAUAUGGCCUGAACAAUUUGGAUUGGAUCCUUACAUUCAGUUACAUCCACUUCCUUUAUCACUGUUUCUCAGCUUACACAAUUUAUGCCAGGACUUACUAGAAAUAAUUUUUUCACAUUACAUUACAUAACUCCUAGAGUAUAAACAAAACCUUCUAUUUGGAGUAUUCCCUAGAUCUCUCUAAAUUGAUUCCUUGCAAUGUUUGAAAGCUUGGAGUGAAGAAGGUAUUCAUGAAAAUAAGAUGUCAAUUUGUGUGUUUGAUAUAUUUGUGUUUGGCAAGGAUUGCUAUGGGCAUUAUUUCUUUGGUUCCCCAAUAUUUGGUUUAAAAUCAGAAGCAACAUUUGCAUUAGUUAAACAUGUAUCUGAUUUAGAGCUGGGUCUUUUGCCGCCAUCUUCUUAAGUGAAUUAGUUCUAUGGGUAACUCUCAUGGUGGCACUCAUAGACCUUUGAUGAAUUGCACAGGCUGGAUUUGAACUGCCCUGAUCUAGCUGUGCCCACGAAUGUGGCUUUUGUGUCUGAAGCAAAUGGGAAAAUUGGAAAUAAUGUUGAGCUCACUGCAGAGCUGAUGAGCAGCUGUUAUGAACUAAUACAGCUGCAUGGGUUGUGAACAACUACCUUACCAGGUGUCAGAUAUUUUGAGUAUCUUCCUGCUAAGGAUGGGUAGAUCAUUCUAGUUAAAUGUCAGGGACUCCUGAUGUAGGAUUUCCAGCCUUCUGAGAAGAAAGUGGCUCCCUGGCCCUCCUGCCCCACAACCAUCUCCUGCAUCUCAAGCUGUCCACCAUAGUAAGAGUCUGCAAUCCCAGCCAAGCAUGAGGAGACAGGUGCCUGAGCUGGGGCAGAGGAUGCAAAGUUCUUUGUCUUCUACAUUUGACAUAAUAACCUGUGUUCACUCUGUUUUGCUCUGGCAUCUUAGCCAUUCCUUGCCUUAGUGAAUUCACAUGAUGUUUUAGCAGUGAGAGUAGAUGCUUUCUUAAUGUAGCAUUAAAAGUAAAAGGGGAUGGACACCCUAAAUACCCUGACUUGAUCACUAAAAUUAUACACAUGUAAAACAAUUUUUAUAUAGUCCAUAAAUUUGCACAAAUAUUUUAAACAAGUAAAAGUUGAAGUAACAAGAAUAGCACAGGGGCUCCCCUGCCGCACCCUCUACAGCCAUGCGCCAUCACUGUGCACUCACUCAUGACUGCAGGGGAAGAGCCUGCUCAGCACUGGGGCAUGAUGAGAGUGGCUGAGACCCAGUCCCUGCCUCACGUGCUAUAAGCUAGUGGUGGAGAUGGGAAGAAGCUAUGGUGAGUACCACGAGGGACUUAUCUUGACCUGAUCCAGCUCCAGCUGUGGAGGAGCUUGGGUUGACAUGGGGCAAGAAGGGAAAGGAUGGGUGUAUUAGUUUGCUUGGGCUGGCAUAGCAAAAUGCCACAGACUGGGUGGCCUAAACAACAGAAAUUCAUUUACUUGCAGUUCUGGAGGCUAGAAGUCCUAGAUCAAGGUUUUGACUGAUUCAGUUCCUGGUGAGAGCUCUCUUCCUGGCGUUCACUUGGCCUCUUUCUUACCAUGUCCUCACAUGGUGAAGCAAGACAGACAUGUCUGGUAUCUCUUUUUAUAAGGACACAAAUCCUGUUGGAUAAGGGACCCAUCCUUAAGACCUCAUUUAACCUUAAUUACUUCUUUAGAGGCUCCAUCUCAAAAUACAGCCACACUGGUGAUUAGGGCAUCAACAUAUGAAUUUGGGGAGGGACACAGAAAUUUAGUCCAUAAUAACAGGUUUGAGAUGAAAUGCCCAGAUGGAUCAAUCCACCUCUGAAAUUUCAUUCUUGUUGUCUGAAAGAUUUACAUAAAAACCAAUGGCUUAUUCACUUCAAUAUUCUGACUGGCAUGGCUCCCCCACCUCCUAGCUUAGAACCUCAGCCUCAGACCUACUUCCAUAUGAGGAGACGGAGGAUGCUCAUGCCAGUUCUAGAAGGAGUGACUGCCUGAGGGGGGAGUUGAGAUAAAGAUGUCCUGAUUGAACUCGAGACUGCACUCAGGAAUGACCCCAUGUCCAGAGCUGGAACCAGACAGACCUUGGGACUCAGAUAAUAAUAUUUAAAAUAGGAAGUUAUCCAAAAAAUAUGUCAUAUGUGGUUGCUGUAGAGUGGGUACAGGGGACAUAAAAAAAAAUAGAGGGCUGUGUAAAGGUAAAGAUGUAAGGAAUAAAGGAAUCUGGCUGAAGAGCAAGAUCCAACUGAAGAGCAAGACUUACACCCUACACAAAGACCCCCUGUCUGUCUCUCCCCUAGCCAUCAAAGCUGCCAUCAGGGUUCACCCAACAAGAUUUUUCAUGUCUCUUUGUGCAUGUGAACAGACACCAUGGGAAUUUCUUGUUCUCCUCAUUCCUCCUGAUAUGGUUCAGCUGUGUCCCCAUCCAAAUCUCAUCUUGAAUUGUAGCUCCCAUAAUUCCCAAGUGUUGUGGGAGGAACCCAGUGGAAGAUAAUUGAAUCAUGAGGGUGAUUUCCCCCAUACUGUUCUUGUGGUAGUAAAUAAGUCUCAUGAGAUCUGAUGAUUUUAUAAAGGGUUUCCCCUUUCACCUGGCUCUCAUUCUCUCUUGUAUGCUGCCAGGUAAGCCUUCCGCCAUCAUUGUGAGGCCUCCCCAACCACGUGGAACUGUCGGUCCAUUAAACCUCUUUUUCUUUAUAAAUUACCCAGUCUCAGGUAUGUCUUUAUCAGCAGCAUGAAAACAGACUAAUACACCUCCCCAGCGGGUCAUCCAGAGCCAGCACCUGGAAAUGGGGGAAGCAGGUGUGGUGGACUGAACCAACAGUGGACGGAACUUUGACCUCUGGACAUGUGUUAUAAUGCUUUCUAGGUCCUGGUUCCUAGAGAGAGGUUAAGAGUUCUACAACUCCAGAAGAAAUAUAGCCCUCUCCCAGGUAAGCCAUGUAGCACAGCUCCAGAGGGUGCAAUUCCCACUGAAGUCUGUGAAUGAUGCCCAUGGUGUUGUGCAGUGUGCAUGCUGCAUGACCAUUCACAGUGACCCUGCCUCUCCCGGUGAUUCCUAGUCCCAAAGGAAUCAAUCACUGUACUCACCAUCUCUGGCAAUAGGAGGAAUGGAAACAGUGCUAAUAAUGACAAGGCCAAGAUUUAUUCAGGUGCUUAUGCAAAGAUACAUUAUUUUGCAUACCGUUUUAUUGCACAUAUUGGAAGUGACUUUCACGGAUCUCCACUUUUCAGAUUCCUUCCAGCUUUGCCAGGGGUAAUUUGCCCAAGAAGCACAAUUAUUUAUUCCAAUUAAAUGCUAAUUUCACUCCCUUGAAUCUAAAUCUAAAUCUCCUCUAGGAAAAAGAGGUUAAUAAUUCUUCUAUUAACAAGGAUGACUUGAUCUAGUCUACAGUGGGCUCAAAAUGUGCAAAAUUAUUUAAAUUAGGGCGGGAAGCUAAAAAAUAUCCAUGAUGUCUUCAAAGCAACAAGAUUUUUCCUUAAUUAUUUAAAAUUUAGCAGUGGUGUGUACUAUUAUUGAGUCUCUAAACCAAUGGUUCUUAAAGUGUGGUUCCUAAAAUUGUAUCAUCAGCAUCACCUGGGAACUUUGUUAGAAAUAGAGUCUCAGGUCCUACCUAAGACCUGCUGAAUCAGAAACUCUGGGAGUGGGCCCAGCAACCUGUGCUUUAACAAGACCUCCAGAUGAUUCUGAUGCACAUGCCAAGUUUGAGAAGCAGUGUUCUGGAUCUAAGAUAGUGAUGCUAGUCUUGGCUGUAUGUUAAGAUCACUUGGAAAGUUCUUAAUAUGAUGCCCAGGCCACAGCCCAGGCAAAUCAGAAUCUCUGGGGGUGGAGCCCAGAUGUAAUUUCCCCAGGUGAUUGCAAUGUGCAUCCAAGGUUAACAACCAUUGCUUUACAAGCAAUAAUUCUAAAAGUUAAGUGUGUGUGAAAAAGACUUGAGAUACUUGUUAAGGAUAAGACGUGCUCCUGGAGAUUCUGAUUCAGUAGAUCAAUGGUGAGGCUCAGGAAUUCAUAUUUUUAGCCAGUAGUCCAGGUAAUGCUGCUGCACAAGAUGCAUGGGCCACCCCACAAGGAACACAGUAUACUUAAGAGCCAGACCGCUUAAAUAGUCUUGAGGAAGGACUGUGCUUACUAGUGGGAAGUCAGAAACCGUAGCUCUGAGGAGUUAGGGUUGUAUGUCAAGAGACUUUGACAGAUGACUGCAUGAACAAGGUAGGAAAUGGAACUGUAGGUGCAGAAAGGUGAUGAGGCUGUUUAAUUGUGAUGUACUUGUCAACCAGUACCUUUAUUUGUCUUGGGAGCUCAUGAGCUCUCUUUGUGAGAGAGACUGACCCAAAUUACCCCUUCCAUUGUAUGGUUCUGUGCUGGACACCUUGGCUGGCACACCCUAACAAAGUGAAUCCAAAAACAAGAAGCAAAGUAGUCACAUGAAAAUAACACAGAUGGGUGGGGCAUGGCAGCUCAUGCCUGUAAUCCCAACACUUUGGGAGGUCAAGGUGGGUGGAUCACCUGAGGUCAGGAGUUCGAGACCAGCCCGGCUAACAUGGUGAAACCCCCAUCUCUACUCGAUGAUACAAAAAUUAGUCAGGUGUAGUGGUGGGCGCCUGUAAUUCCAGCUACUCGGGAGGCGGAGGCAAGAGAAUCGCUUGAAUCUGGGAGGCAGAGGCUGCAGUGAACUGAGAUCAUGCCACUGCACUCCAGCCUGGGUGAUAGAGUGAGACUCCGUCUUGAAAAUAAAAAAUAAUAAUAAAUAAAUAAAUAACACAGACUUUGGAGUCAAGCAAUUUGAAUUUGGAUUUAGACUUGAAUCUGCAUGUCACCACUUGCUGUCCAUGUGGCCUUGGAAAGUUACUCCUCUCUCUGACUCUGUUCUGAUCUGUCAAACGAGAAUAUUGAUAACUACCUUACAGAGUCAUUAUGAAGAUUAACAUGAAAAGCACUCAGCACCCAGUUGGCUCACAACAAAGGUUGAUUGUUAUUUUGAAGUGUUAAAUGUCCCAUCACCAUUUAUCAACCAGAGUCUGUGUUCUAAUUUACUGUACCGGAUGCUGUCCAGUAGUUGUGACAUCUGGGAAAUUCCUCCAGCUCCUCUGCAUUGACUCACAGAAUUCACAACAGGAACAGACAUGAAAACUCACCAUAAUCUUUUAAACUAAGUAAAAACAACUAAGACUGGAUAAUGUAGGCAAUGUUUUUUAUCUACAUAAGCACUGCACUCGAUUAAGUCCUCUGAACUAUUCUCCUAGCAUCAGUUGAGCAAACUAUACCCAUAGCAAUUUGGCUGGUAAAAAGUUAACUUGGGAAAAGAAUCUUAAGUACCUUCCCAGCUGUGUUCUAAUUGCAUGUUUAGAAAGAGUAUGCAUACAUUUUUUAGUGUGGUAACAUCAAGGAUAGAUGUUGCUAAAGAGAAUUUUAAGUGAUUCAUGCCCUGUUUUCUUAUUCAGGAAAGCUUUUUCUAACUUUCUUCUGAUAAGCCUACAGAAAUAAAAGAGAAUAUGGCAGAGGAAGGCAUUAAGAAUUAAAGUCGGGAAAGUAUUCAAGAAGUUACCCAGUUUAUUUUUUGAGUUUCAGACAGAAGGGUCUAGCCUGACCCUCAUAAGGAUCAGAUGAGGCAGAUGGAGGCACCUCGUCUCUCAACCUAAAUUCUUAGUGAAGUCCCUUAUGGCUCAGCUGCAAGCCUCCUGCCACAGGACACGCACAUUUCCUCUAGUGGGUUUGGGGGUGGAGAGCAGCUGGUAUCACUCUCUUCAUAAUUACCCCGUAUACUUAAAGAAGACAAUUGAGUCAUCCUUUAUCCUCUUUUUUUCCAGGAAAACAUCCAGUUCCUUAAAACUUACCUCAUAGGUUCUGUUUUCCAACACUUUAAUCAUUGUGUCUUUUGUGUGCCCUGGCCAAGUCCCCUGCUUCCUCUUAGACCUGGACCUGGUCCCUGAACAAGGACCUGACUGUGCUGACAGGAAUAGGAAAGCCCCCCUGUUUCCACACUCACUUGUAAGCCAAGAAAGUAGGGAACAGCCAUCCCUGGCAUUAUUCCAGAUGUGGGAAACUCUGCUGUCCACAGGGACAGGCAGGAGCAUACACAGCAUGGGUGAGGAUCGUGUCAGAAGGAAGAAUGUGCACAGCCUGGCCAAAGAGGCCGGCCCUGCUUGGUUACAGUGGUCUGCUGCCCUGAGGCACAUUGUUGCCAGGUCUUCUGAUUUUUCUAGAAAAGUUCAAAAUCUGGACUUUAAAAGUAUCUGCUUUUUUUUUUCCAAUGUUGUCUACCCUCUCAAAAAUAUUUAAACAAUCUGUGGGCAAAUAAAACAUGUCUGGAGGCUGAAUCGGGUUCCUGGGCCUCUUAAGAAAUUCUAUUCUAUGGCUGCAUAGUAUUCCAUGGUGUAUAUGUGCCACAUUUUCUUAAUCCAGUCUAUCAUUGUUGGACAUUUGGAAUACUAUGCAGCCAUAAGAAAUGAUGAGUUCAUGUCCUUUGUAGGUACAUGGAUGAAAUUGGAAAUC
rnacentral:lncRNA from 10 species